rnacentral:lncRNA from 1 species
GCCGAGCCUGGUAACGCAAGCUUGUGACCUAAGUGGGGGCUUUAAGGUGAUGGGACACGGGUUCGACUCGUUGAGUCCGUUCUGCAGUGGUUUGAUUCAGGUUUGUCCGUUCCAAGCAAGGAGUUGGACCAAGGGGCACGAGCGUAGGCUUGUGCGUCGUGGUUCUUAGAGAGGGGGAUAAAGCGUGAGGCUGGUUUCACAGAGCAGCGAUUACCUUCCGCUCCUUGCAGUGGAAGGAUAACAGGCUUGAUCCAUUCGGAACCACCAUGGCUCAAUGAGCUGACCCAACUGUACCAUCAUUUUUUUCCCCCUCUUUAUUUGUCUGUUGUUCUUUUGCCAUGACUUUCAAAUCUAACAUUGUCAUUCAAUCCACAAAACACAAAACUCUCUUAUUCAUGGAUUGUAAUUUUAAUUGUAAAAAGGAAACUACCAUAUUUGGGUUUUCAACUCUUUUUUAGUUUUCUUUUAUACUUUCACUAAAGAUGAUUUAAUUAUCAUUUUAACUACGCAAAUAGUUCAUGAACCUGGAGAUCCAUUCGGAAGAAGAUGGAAAAAGGAAAAGCUCCUUUUAUCCCUUUUUAAAUAAAAGAGAAAGCGUAUUGGUUGGGAGAUGAUUCAUCUGCUACUGGGAUAGAUGAUAGCUUGGAGGAAAGCCAAGGACUAAACAGCCAAAUGUUCCACUGUCAACAAAAUGGAAGAACAGGAAAAUGAAGGAAGCUUAAGUUUCUGCCAAAACAUAUUUCGGGAAAUGGAGAAAGAUGAGAUAAAUACAUAGAUGAGUGGGAUAACCAUAAGGAGACAAACAAAAACAUAUUGGGAAAUGGAGAAAGUAAUACAUAAAAUUGAAAAGAUACGUGGAUUGAGUUUUUAAACCGGUUUAAAAAGAUGAUGGUUCACAGUAACCCUGGCUCAACCAGUAAGCUAGGUCAAACCAGAGAUCAACCACCCAAUGAUCCGGACCCGAAGUAGCAUUCACAGUAUCCCUGGCUCACCCAGUAAGUUAGGACGAACAAGAGAUGAACCACCCAAAGAUCCGGACCCGAAGUAGCCAAACCAGCUAGCAUUCCACCAUCUUAUAGCCCCCACUCAGGUGACAAGCUCGGGUUACCAAGCUCGGCGAGCUACGGGGCGGGCAAGUGGCAAUAUAUAUGGUUACUCUCUUUUGAUUUUGGUCGAUGUGGUAUUCUCUUUCUUCAGAGGGUGCUUUUACUUGUUGAGGUGAUGAGUUUGGGAACUUCAUGGAAAACUUAAAAUAAAUAUUUGAACAAAAUUAAACCAUAUGUUUUACAUAACUUGUAAAACUGCCUUCAUCAUCAAUAGCCAUGGAAUACAAUCAUAAAUGGGAAAAUGACAACAAACGAGAAAACAACACUGACACUUUGACACUAAACAGAUACCUAAAAAAACUUGAGAAGAGAAACAAAAGAAACGAGUGUUUACACAGAUUGUAAAUGAAAACAGUGAGCCAUCAAGAGGGACUCAAACAAAAGCAAAAAGCAAAAGACAACAACCUAAAGCAUUCUAUAGAGAGAAUGAGCAUUUUGAGGGGUUCUUUUUAUUGGGAAUUAUAAUUAUAUAAGUUCAUGGUCAUUUUUUUCAUGGGUUGAACUUAUUACCAUCAUUUAACCUCAACAAAGCCUCAAAUAUCAAUUUCGUUUUAGGUUCAAAUCGCAUAUCACCUAAUGUAUUAGACUUUCCAUUCAAAUCAUAUUAAACAUUUUCUUACUCAAUCAUCUAAAAUCAUAAUACUCAACUUUAAAUCAUAACCAUAAAUUUACUAAUUUAAUCAUUUGAAAAACAUAGUCUUCAUCUCAAAACAUAAUUUUAUAAUAUUAACUAAAUCAUUUAAACUCAUCAAAAACUUGUAAAAAUAAAAUAAAUAUAACCAGUCAUGGUAAACUAAAUAUUUACAGCUUUAUGUAAUGAAAAUAAAAUAUUAGCACAAGCCAAAGUUUCAGUCGCUUUACUCAUCCUUUUUACCUUUAUCCUUCAAGAUGCUCACUUCGUUUUUAGUUACAAUAAGAACAAUUUAAUACAAAACAAUGCCAUUUAUCUAUUCUAGUACUAAAACUAAUAAAAAUAAAUUUAAAAAUGCAUGGUUAAUCAAGUUGAUAACUUAAGUUUUCUAAUUCGAAAUUCACAUAUCUUUCAAUUCAAUUAUUCGUUUUCAAUUUUGUACUCGUUAGAAUAUUCAUUGCUUCACAAACUAUCAUUUAGCACUAAUAUUACACAAAGUGGCUAAGGUUCUCUACUCCUACUUCACUAUGGCUAAAUGUACCGAGUAAACUUUCCGUCCUCUUUUUUUUUUUUUUUUUCACACUUCUAACAAAUUAAAAUUCAUCUUCUAAUCAUUUCCUAUUAAAAAUGCAUCUAUUUCACUUAAGUUUUCUAAGCUUCCAUUAAUGUCCUUUAAUGACAACUUUCAAUAUACUUGAUAAGAUAAAAAAACUAUUAGUACAUAUAAAAAAAAUGGCAACAUUCAAAAUCUAUGAAAAUUUUGAAGAAAAAUCAUAUCUUAUGCUUGAAUUUGAAAGAAAAUGAUGAAAGAAAUUUUCUUCUUCUUCUUCUUUCCCCAACUUCCGUGAAUAAGAAAGAAAAAUAAAGAAAGAUGUUCAUCUUUCUUUUAUUUAUAUUAUAAUAAUACUUAAUAAAAUACUAAUAUUUUAGAUAAAGUAUUAAAUAAUCAUUAUUUUAAAAAAUAUCAUUUAAAAACCAUCAUUAAACCAGCAAUUAAUUCCUUUUGAUCAAUAUAAAAAUAGGAUAAUUACACUUUAGUCUUUAUAAUUUUUCAACUUAUUCAAUUUAAUUCCUGAACUCGAUACCGAAUUUUUAACUUAACCACAUGCUCUUAAUAAUAAUUUUCUAUGUUUUUAUGCUGAUUGUUUCCUCUAAAAACGAUCACAAUUUUUUAUAAUACUAUUCUUUUAUAGAUCAUUUGUUUAAGGACUUCUACCAUAAAUAUUCUUUUUUUAAGUGGAGAUGUUACAAAUCGAGCCUAUUAUCCUUCCACUGCCAAGACCGAGAAGUGUUCGCUGCUCUGUGAAACUAGUCUCACGGAAUACCCUCCUCUCUACUAAUUUUCGACUCAACUAGAUUAGUAAUUAUUUAGCUUGUAAGAAAUUUGAUAAACACAUUUACCAAUUUUACAAUUCUUGAUUCAAUCUUUGGAGUAGUCCGUGAGUUCUAUUGUAACACUAUAAAUAUUAUAACUUGACACUGUUAUACUUGCAGUAAAAGUCAUUUUUAAAUUCUUAUAUUUUGUGCUAAUUCUUUGCUUGACGUACGGACAUCAUGGUGCGGUCAAUUGUUGGCACCAUUACCAGGAUUGUAACAGUCUAAAUGUGUUGUUAAGUUACUUGUCUCAAAAGAGCAAUAUUAGUCGAAAGACGAGGGAUCAAAUAUUUCAUAUUUUCUGUUUUCUUUUUGUUAUUUUAUUUGUUGACCUUGUUGAAGACUUCAUUUAAUCAUGUUUAAUAAUAAUGGUUAUAAGUGAUUGGGAGAUCAAUACAGAUAUGAUGAGAGGUCGAGUUUAACGAACGGAAAUUCGAUGACUUGUUGGAGUUAUAAUUGUAAUUUUGGAAGAAAGAGUAUUCAUAUGAGCAUCCUUGUGAUUCGUAUGAAUAUACAACCGAGAUGGGUAGCUACAAUCAAGGGUGGUCGGGUAAUUAUCCGACAUAUGAUUAGUAUUUUUCAUAUUACUAUCCGGAAAGUAAUAUGAAGAAUGACGAGUAUACUGAAGACUCAUCCUUUGCUAAAUGGGUUAGAAUGUUGGAGGAUAAUAUCUCUUCGUUCCAAGCUACUAUAUCCUCCAUUUCUAAUACGUUGAAGCAAUUAUUAGAAACCGUCGACCAGUUGAAAUGAACACUACGGUGAAAGAGGUCGAGCAUGAAGUUCUCGAACUUAAGAAGAAGGUCCACCUUACCAUAGUUGAGCAUGACAUGUUGAAUAUGGGUGUUAAACAGGAGUUCGGAGUUGGAGAUCAUGAGAAACGGAAAUGCUAUCUUAACCCUUAUUGACAUAGGAUUAAAAGUUGGAGCAGAAAUAGAGUUCGAUGUAGAGGAAGAACUAAAUCUGUAAUUAAGUGAAAAUGUGAUGGAGCCAACACGCUUUCCAAAUAUCAUUGUGGAGUUAGUAAACAAAAUGAUGCCAAGAGUAUGGAAUUGCAUGAAGAAUUUCAAAGUUGUGGAUUGAAGUUACCUGCAAAUUUAUACCAAUUCUUUAUCCUCAAGCAUCAACACGCUUCUAGAUCUGCAAUGAAGGGAAAUACUUACAAUGCCAACUAAAAACAGUAACUACGGUCGUGGGUAUAUUUUUAAAUAGAAACUAAAAUCAUAGAAUGAAAACACACAAUACUAUAUUACUAUGCUACUACUCAGAGAAGUGGAAGUACUUAAACAAAGAAGAAUUUUUUGCAUGUUAUAUGGGCACACAAGAGGAGAAACCAACUAUAACAAUUGUUAAGCCUUAUAUAUGCAGCCAUCCAAUGAUAUAAUAUUAAUAACUACUGUCGUUAAAGUAAUGAUAUAGAUUUUAACCAAACUAGAAGAAAAGACUAACUUGGACAGUAAUAACCUCUUUGCCACACCUUAACUGGGUGGGCGAGUAGAUUUAUAAAGGCUGGCUAAAAAAAAGGAUGAUGGUCCAGUCAUGGUUUGCUCGCUGAGCCAUGUUGGAUCGGAGUGGAUCGAGCUUGUUAUUCUUCCACUGUCAAGAGAGAGAGGUCUUCGCUGCUCUGUGAAACCAGCCUGACGCAGUUCCCUCCACUCUAAGAACCACGAGACUCAGAGUUUUCACUCAAGCCCCUUGGCUCAACUCUAAACUUGGAACGGGCAAGCCAGAGUUAAACCACCUGAGAUCCGACUCAGCAAAGCCAAACCAACGUUCAAUCACCUUAAAGCCCCCACUCAGGUUACAAGCUCGAGUUACCAAGCUCGGCGGCCAGCAAAGAGGGCAAGGGCUAUAUAUAUAGUUAGUCCCUUCCGAUUUUGGUCUAUGUGGUAUUCUCUUUCUUUCGAGGAUGCUUUUACUCGUUGAGGUGAUGAGUUUGGGAACUUCAUGCAGAUUUGGAUAAAAUUAAACGAUAUGUUUUACAUCAUUUGUGAAGAAAUUCAUCCCCAGUUAAACAUUCUCGUAUUUUUUUCACAUAAAAGAAAAGGGACAAUCAGGCAGAUAUUGAUUCUUAAUUUGUUGGUAUUUUUCAUGUCAAUGGCUAUUUUUUUUUUUCAAAAUCUAAUUUGAUAUUGUGCUAAUGCUGAUUUCAAUACAACAUGUUUAAAACAGUGUAUAGAUUAGAUGGUUGCAAGUGGUUAGUAUACACUUGUACUACUGAAGAGCGGGAAAUGCUAAGGGUGUCAAGAUGUAGGGGUUCCUCCAAAGGCAUCCAAAAUAUGAAUUUAACGUUUUGGAGAGGACACAUUAUCUAAGUUUCGUGUUCAAGCUAAAUUAUGACAAGGCCAGUAUUCUACCCGUUGUUGUACUUGUUGAAAGCAGGGUUUUACUUGCGACCUCACUAGUUUGUUAUGAACUUGUUGAAUUCUUAUCGUUAGCGCCCAGACAGCUAGUUGGAAGUUAUUGGUGGUUGAUAAUCGGAUUCAUCAUCAAAUGCGAGGCAGAGGGGUAUAUGACUUGAUGUGCCACUAUUCCAAUAUAUGUACGGUCUACAGGAAAAUGAGGGUUAGCUGGGGCUUUAUUUUGUGAUUCGGAAGGAGGGGUGUUGGAUUUGGUGCCCUGCAGUAUUUUCAUCUUUAUACACUUGUAUUUUUUGAACACCUUGGUUUAAUAAAAUUAUCAGUGAAUUACAUUAAUACCCUUUAUAUAUUGUCCUCAAUGUUAAUAAAAUUUUUAGACUCCAUUGAGACACUAGCCAUCUUUUAAAACUGAUUCAUAAAGUGUAAAAACUAUAGGAAAAUUACUUGUAAAUUAAUUUGUGUAGUUUAAACUUAAAAUUAAAAUGUAAUUUGAUGGGAUAAAUAUGAUUAAUGGUUUCUAAAGAUUGGUUGGAUUCAUGCAAGAAGCAAAAGAAUCUUAUUUUUCUGUGAUGGAUUGAGAUAUUAAUUUUGGAUAUUUUAAUUUGUUUUUCAAAUAGGAAAUACAGAUUUAGUUAAUGGAUAUCUAAAACAUUUAGGUUCUAAAUUAAUCAAAGAAUUGGGACAGCAUGAAAAAGUUUUCAUCUCUAUCAAGGGAUAAUGUAGAUAAGUGCAGUCUUCAAUUAAUGAAUGAACAAUGUUUGAUUUUGUAAGUACGUACAGACAAAGGAAUUUGGAUAGAGAUUAAUUAGAAGUAGCAUAUCGCUGUUGUAAUCAUGUUGCCAAAGUAUUUUUUGCACAAAAUCAAAUCAGUAUUAAGAAGAAAACUGAUAAUAGCUAAUGACAAGAAAAGAAUAAAAUUUGCAAAUAAAGAACCAUUGCAUAUGGCUUGACUGUCCCCUUCUUAAGCUUCCAUGAAGUUCCACACUCAUCACCUUAACAAGUAAGAGCACCCUUAGAAGAAAGAGAAUCCCACAUCGUCUAAAGUCAACAAAUAUUAAUUAUUUAUAUAACAAAUUGGCCAUGACAUUUAUCGCCGAGCCUGGUAACGCAAGCUUGUGACCCGAGUGGGGGCUUUAAGGUGAUGGAACACGGGUUCGACUCAUUGAGUCGGUUCUGCAGUGGUUUGAUUCAGGCUUGUCCGUUUCAAGCUAGGAGUUGUACCAAGGGGCACAAGCGUAGGCUUGUGCGUCGUGGUUCCUAGAGAGGGGGAUAAAGCGUGAGGCUGGUUUCACAGAGCAGCGAACACCUCCCGCUCCUGGCAGUGGAAGGAUAACAGGCUUGAUCCAUUCGGAACCACCAUGGCUCAUUGAGCUGACCCCCAACUGGACCGUCAUUUUUUCUCCCUUUCCUGUGUUUAUUUUGCGUGACGUUUUUUUGUCGAUACUCCACUCAGUUAAUCGACUCAACCAUUCAUUACAAAUGAACUAAACAAGUCUGAAUUUCUUAAUUUCUUUGCAGGAAUUACGUCCUAUGGAUCAUAAAAAAUGAUUAGGUCUAAUUAUGAUUUUAGUUCUAAUAUGAUUAAAUUUAAAGAAUUAAUCCCUAUACUUUUAAGUAAAUCUUUCUAUUUUAUUUUAACAUUAUUUGGUGUCUAUAAAGUAGUGUGCCGUUAAAGUAAUGAAGAGAUUUUUUUUCCCGUAAGGAAGGCAUACAACAGCCUUAAGAUCCAAUGUUUCUUACAUGGAAGUCUUCCAUUUUAUCCUCUAAAAGAAGUUACAUAACAUCAAACAUGGAGAAGUGAAUAAUUUCCUGAUCAUAUUUAUUCUUUGAACAAGAUUUAGCUAUGUAAUCAGUCACUUUAUUCACUGCACAGAAGCAUGUUAAAUUUUGAUAAUCCAAUUGCACCUACUUUCUCUUUUAUUCUUCGAACUAAAGUUGUUUUUUAUGAGCCUAGAGAAGUAUCUGUUAGCAUAUCCACUGCAUUUUUAUUGUCGGAUACAAUUAUCACCUUGGUGUAUCCCUUCUGCCAAGCUAUUUGACCACGAAGGAUAGGCGAUCGUUAGAGUAGAACCUCUACCAAUGAAUCGACAAAAUCCUGCUAACCAAUUACCAUGCGAGUCAUGUAAAAUGCCACCUGUAGCUGACCAGUUUCCACUCUCUACAGUAGCUCCAUCAGAAUUAAUUUUUACCCAACCGCGGCAAGGUGCCUUCCAUUUGAUGGCAAUAGUUCUGGAUGAAUCUUCUUUCAACUCUGCUGCUGCUGCAUUGCUUGUGUGAAUGACGAGUGUUUCAGCUUGUCUUACUAUCAUUUCAGUGCUACCAUAUUUUCCUUGAAAUAUUACUGCAUUCCUGUACUUUCAAAUAAACCAGCAAGUAACUGCAAAAAAACACUCGACGAUUGGUUAUAGAUGAUUGGUUAUAGAUGGUUAUAGAUGAUUGGGAGAUUAAUAUGGAUAUGACAAGAGGUUGUGUUCAACGAACGAAAAUUCGACCAGCCAUUGGAGUUAUUAUGGCAAUUUUGGAAGGCAAGAGUAUUCGUAUGAGCAUUCUUAUGAUUCAUAUGGUUAUGCAACUGAGAUGGGUUCAAGGGUGAUCGGAUAAUUAUCCGAAAUAUGAUUUGUAUUUUCCAUAUUACUAUCUAGAAAGUAAGGUCGAGCAUGAGGUUUGUUGGAGUUUGAGAGUACUUUAACCGGGUAAAGUAAGAGUUGCAAACAGAGCACCAGCAGCAACGUAAUAUACCCGGGUAAAAUAUGAAGGAAAAAAUGCUUGAAGUUCAGGCUUUAAGAGCAGAAAUUGGAAGGAAAACAAGAACAGAACUAAAGCAAAGAAAGAAGGAGCAUGAAGAAUAGUUGAGAAUAUUGAUGAAAAAAUAAAUUGUAUUUUUUUUCAUACCUACAUCAUAGACAGAUUGCCAUUACAUAUAUCAAAAAUAAAAAAAAAACUUACAAGUCAAAUUUCUACCUAAACAUACACCUACUUCCACUAAGCUUUCCAAAUAACAAAAACUUAACUUGUACAUUAACACAAAGCUGGUUAACAGCUCCAUCAACAUCAAAUUACAUCAAUCAAAAAGCUUAUAGCAAACUAGACUUCAAAAUGAACAAAAUAUUAGUUCAAAUCUAACAGCAACACAAAACCAAGGUUGCUGCAUGCUUGUCACGAGCCUGCAUGGCCAGCUUCCAGCUGCACUUGCUUCAUACCAGCUGCAUGGAGAUCAGCUUCAACACUCCUCCUUGAGCUUCAUGCUGCAAACUCCCAUGAGCUUUCUUAACUUGUUAAAUCUCGACACACCAAGACCCUUGGUCAAGAUAUCAGCAAUUUGAUCCUCCGAAUUGCAAUGAACCAGCUUUAUUUCACAAGCUUGCUCCAUCUCCCUUAUUACAUGCAGCUUUAUGUCAAAGUGCUUAGUUCUACCAUGGAAGACAGGGUUCUUUGCAAUUGCAACAGCAGAUUUGUUGCCACAAAGUAUCUCUGUUGCUUCUACUUGAGAUAAGUUCAAAUUAGCUAAGAUUUUCCUCAGCCAAAUAGCUUGGUUUACUGCACUAGCAGCAGCUACAUAUUCGGCCUCAGCAGUCGAUUGAGCCACCAGAGACUAUUUUUUGGAACUCCAGCAUACCAUUCCUGACCCCAAUGUGAAAGCAUACCCUGAUGUGCUCUUCAUAUCGUCUUUAGAACCAGCCCAGUCACUAUCUGUGUAGCCUUUCAAUCUAAGUUCUGCAGCCUUGCUAAACAAGAGACCAUGAUUUAGAGUACCUUUAAUGUAUCUCAGUACUCAUUUUGCAGCUUGAAAAUGUUGUACAUUGCAGCAGUGCAUGAAUCUAGAAAGUAGACUUACAGCAAACAUGAUGUCUGGUCUCGUUGCAGUCAAGUAUAGAAGACAACCAAUUAAGCUUCUGUAGGUAGUUUCACAGACUUCUUCAUGACCCUCAUAGCUUGAUAGUUUCAACCCAAUUACAACAGGUGUAGGAGUUGGCUUGCAGUUCAGCAUUGAAAACUUUGUCAACACCUUCAAGGCAAAUGAUUCCUGUUUCAAGAAGAUGCCUUCUUGUGUCUGGCUUACUUCCAUUCCUAGGAAGUAUGUCAUCAGCCCCAGGUCAGUCAUUUCGAACAUUUGCAUCAUCUUUGUCUUAAAUUCUGCCAGAUCAACUUCAUCUCCUCCUGUCACCAAUAGGUCAUCAACAUACAAUGACACCACAAGCUGAGUUUCAGUUUUAUUCUUCUUGACAUACAACGUUGGCUCACUAGCACUUCUCUCAAACUUCAAACUAAGCAGAUAAGAGUCAAUUCUAGCAUACCAUGCUCUAGGUGCUUGUUUUAGGCCAUAUAAGGCCUUUCUUAGUUUGUAAACCAAGUCUUCCUUGCCAGGUACUUCAAAUCCCUCUGGUUGCUCGACAUAAAUUUCCUCUUUAAGGAUUCCAUUUAGAAAGGCCGAUUUCACAUCUAGUUGAUAUACAUUCCACUGCAUAUAAGCAGCCAAUCUAACAAUCAGCCUAAUCGUAUCCAAUCUGGCAACAAGAGCAUAUGUUUCAAAAUAAUCCAGUCCAUAUUUUUGACUAAAUCCUUUUACCACAAGUCUAGCCUUCAGUUUAUUCAGACUUCUAUCAGCAUUCCGUUUGGCCUUGUAGACCCAUUUUACUCCAAUAAUCUUCCUGUUAGCAGGCUUCUCAACCAGCUUCCAAGUCUGGUUCUUCUCGAUCAUGGCAAUUUCAUCUGCCAUUGCCUGUUUCCAGCCUUCAUGCUUCACAGCCUCUUCAAAAUAGGUUGGCUCUACUAAGGCUAAAUGUGCCCUUUCAUAAAUUUCAGCCAAAGAUCUGGUACCUCUGAUUGGCACAUCAUCAAAGUCCAUAUCAGGACUAUUUUCUUCUGACUCUGUUUGAUCAACCACAAGUUCUUCAGAGACAGCUUCAGGUUCAUUCUUGUCCCAAUUCCAGCUUGCUUUCUCAUUGAACACAACAUCUCUACUUGCAAAUACUUUGUUUGUUGAAGGAUCUAAGAUCCUAUAGCCCUUUUUCUCUGAGCUAUAGCCUACCAGGAUACCUGCUUGUGCUCUUUUGUCAAACUUACUUCUUUUAACAGCUGGAACUUGUGAAUAGCAUAAGCAACCAAAGAUUCUUAAGUGAGCCAGUGAUGGCUUGAAUCCAAACCAAGCCUCAAAUGGAGUCCUUUGCUCUAAAGCUUUGGUUGGAAGUCUGUUUUGAACAUAAACAGCAGUAUUUACUGCCUCAGCCCAUAAAUUUUUUGGCAAGUUCUUCUCAAAUAUCAUGUAUCUGGCCAUAUCAAGUAGGCUUCUAUUUUUUCUUUCACUUACCCCAUUUUGCUGAGGUGUGUACACAUUUGUUAGUUGAUGUUUAAUGCCAGCUCUUGCACAAAUGUCUUGGAACUGGGCUGAAAUAUAUUCUGUCUCAUUGUCUGAUCUUAUGGACUUUAGUUUACAGCCAGUCUCUGUCUCAGCUGCUGUUUUAAACUUCAGGAAGGCUUGAACAACUUCAGUCUUAUUCUUUAAGAAGUAAAUCCAGCAGUAUCUGGUACUAUCAUCAAUGAAAAGAAUGAAGUACCUGCUGCCAUUGAGUGACUCGGACUUCAUAGGGCCACACACAUCUGUGUGCACUAAUUGAAGUUUCUCUGAGGCUCUCCAAGCUGUGUUUGUAGGAAAUGGAAGCCUAGCUUACUUUCCCAUCUGACAGACUUCACAAACAUCUUCAUUCUGAACUGUCUUGGUGAAGUUUUCAACCAUUUCCUUACUGACCAUCCGAGCCAUAGACUUAAAGUUGGCAUGACCAAGUCUUUGAUGCCAAAGCUUGGUAUUUUCUGUUGAAGUUGUAUGGGCUGUGUGUGAGUCGCCUGACCAGUCAACUUCAAAACAUUUGUCACUCAUGGUGACUGUCAUAAGUAUGGACCCUUUUUGGUUACUGAUUUGGCACUCCUUUCCUUUAAAGACCACAUUAUAUCCUUUUUCCAGCAACUGAGCUAUGCUCAACAAAUUUCUAUCAAUUUCAGGUACAAACAGUACAUUUGGGAUGAGUUUGUUACCUGAUGGAGUGCAUAUUAUCACAUCACCUAUGCCUUCUGCCUGAAUACAGUGUCCAUCUCCAAUUUUUACUCUAGUCUUACAGCUUCUAUCUAGAGUUUUGAAGAUAGUUACAUCUGGUGACAUGUGGUUGGUGCAGCCACUGUCAAUGAGCCAUCCCUUUUUAACCUUGCAUUUUGCAGCUAAACAUGAGACUGCAAACACUUGUUCUUCACUGUCACUACCUUGUUCAACUACUCUAGCCUCUUCAUUCUUGUGUUGAGGUUGGUUUUGGCCAGGUCUGCCUUUUUCUUUGCAGACUCUUUCAACAUAGCCCUUCUUCUUGCAAUGUUGACAUAUGGCAUCUGGUCUGAACCAGCAUCUGGCCUCUGGAUGACCGGGCCUUUUGCAGUGUCUGCAUGGUCUGUCCCAUUUUUUUGAGGCAUCUGCUUUGGAUUUAUCCCUCCAGUUUUUCUUGCCUUUGUAGGCAGCAUUACUCGAGCUAGGCUUGCUCUUGGCCUGAAAUGCACCCUCUUGGUGCUCAUCGAACCUGCUGGCUCUUCUCUGCUCCUGAGCAUAAAGAGCAUUGAUAAGCUCAGUCAGGGAGAUUCUUGUCAAGUCUCUCGAGUCCUCUAAGGAGGAUAUCUUUGCCUCAUAUCUCUCUGGUAAAGUAGAGAGAACCUUCUCAACUAUCCUUACUUCAUCAAACUGCUCACCAAGGAGCCUUAUACUGUUUACAACAGCCAUUAUCCUGUCAGAAUAUUGUUUGACAGUUUCCUCUUCUUUCAUUUUUAGAUUCUCGAAAUCCCUUCUCAGAUUUAAAAGCUGCUGCUGCCUGGUCCUCUCAGUUCCCUGGAACUCCUCCUUAAGCUUGUCCCAAGCCUGCUUCGGGGUCUCACAGGUCAUGAUCCUGGUGAAGAUCACAUCAGAAACACAGUUCUGAAUAUAGGACAUGGCCUUGUGCCUUUUGGUCCUCUCAUCUGCAUGUUGUCUGAUUUGAGCCACUGUUGGGUUGGCUCUCAGUGGAGCUGGCUCGAUGUCUGUGUUAACAACUUCCCACAGAUCAAAGGCCUACAGGUAAGUCCUCAUCUUAACCUGCCAUAUGUGGAACCCUUCACUAUUAAAGACUGGUGGUGCAGCAGGAGAAAAGCCUGAUGAAGCCAUUUAAUUUUCAACAACAGGUCCUCUAAGAUGGAAGCUCUUGAUACCAAUUGUUGGAGUUUGAGAGUACUUUAACCGGGUAAAGUAAGAGUAGCAAACAGAGCACUAGCAGCAACGUAAUAUACCCGGGUAAAAUAUGAAGGAAAAAAUGCUUGAAGUUCAGGCUUUAAGAGCAGAAAUUGGAAGGAAAACAAGAACAGAACUAAAGCAAAGAAAGAAGGAGCAUGAAGAAUAGUUGAGAGUAUUGAUGAAAAAAUGAAUUGUAUUUUUUUUCAUACCUAUAUCAUAGACAGAUUGCCAUUACAUAUAUCAAAAAUAAAUAAAAAAACUUACAAGUCAAAUUUCUACCUAAACAUACACCUACUUCCACUAAGCUUUCCAAAUAACAAAAACUUAACUUAUACAUUAACACAAAGCUGGUUAACAGCUCCAUCAACAUCAAAUUACAUCAAUCAAAAAGCUUAUAGCAAACUAGACUUCAAAAUGAACAAAAUAUUAGUUCAAAUCUAACAGCAACACAAAACCAAGGUUGUUGCAUGCUUGUCACAAGCCUGCAUGGCCAGCUUUCAGCUACACUUGCUUCAUACCAGCUGCAUGGAGAUCAGCUUCAAUAAGGUUCCCGAACUUACGGAGGAGGCUCACCUUACCAUAGUAGAGCAUGACAUGUUGAAUAUGAGAGUUCAAUAAGAGUUCAGAGUUGGAAAUCAUGACGAGGUCAUAAGAAACGAAAAUGUUGUCUUCACUCUAAUUGAUAUAAGAUUAAGAGUAGGGGUAAGAGUAGAGUUAGAUAUAAAGGACGAGCUAAACUUGAAAUUAAGUGACUUGUUGUGGAGAAAUCAAUCGACGUAUUUCAUGAUUAUAUAUAUUUAGUUCACCCAAUACUAACUUUUAGUAAACAAAAUGAUCCCAAGAGUAUAGAAUUGCAUGAAGAAUUACAACGCUGUGGAUUGAAGUUAGCUGCAAAAUUAUACCAAUUCUUAUCUUCAAGCAUCAACACGCUUCUAGAUCUGCAAUGAAUGGAAAUAAACUGACAAUGCCAACUAAAAACGGUAAACUACAAAUAGAAACCAAAACCAUAGAAUAAAAACAUACACCACACUAUAUUACUUUGCUACUACCACAGAAGUGGAAUAAACAAAGAAGAAACUUUUGCAUGUUAUAUGGGCACACAAGAAGAGACCACUGAGUAAAAAAGACACAUCAGCCAACUAUAACAAUUGUUAAGUCUCACAUAUGCAGUCAUCCAAUGAUAUAAUAUUAUUAACUACUCUCGUUAAAAAAAACACACAGUCGAACCUCUUUUUCAUCACCUUAGCUGGGAAAAUGACUUUGUGGAUGAGUGGAUUUAUAAAGUUUAGGAUGAUGGUUAGCUCGCUGAGCCAUGUUGGAUAGGAGUGGAUCAAAGCUUGUUAUCUUCCACUGUCAAGAGAGGGAGGUUUUCGCUGCUCUGAGAAACUAACCUCACGAGUACCCUCCACUUUAGGAUCCACGAGUCUCAGAGUUUACACUCAAGCCCCUCGGCUCAACUAACAACUUGGAGCAGGCAAGCCAAAGUUAAACCACCCAACAUCCAUUUCAGCAAAGCCAAACUCGCAUUCUAUCACCUUACAGUUCCCACCUAGGUUACAAGCUCGUGUUACCAGGCUCGGCAAUCAGCAAAGAGGGCAAGGGCUAUAUAUACAAUUAGUCCCUGUCGAUUUUGGUCGAUGUGGUAUUCUCUUUCUUCCGAGGGUGCUUUCACUUGUUGAGGUGAUGAGCUUGGGAACUUAAUGAAGAUUUGGAUAAUUUGUGAAGAAAUUCAUCCGCAGUUAAACAUUCUCGUAUGUUUUUCACAUAAAAGAAAAGGGACAAUCAGUCAGAUAUUGAUUUCAAUUUAAAACAGGGGUAUGCUUACCUUCCCAUUUGUCUGUUGUUCCUUUGCCAUGACUUACAAAUCUAACAUUGUCAUUCAAUCCACAAACUCUCUUAUUCAUGGAUUGCAAUUUUAAUUGUAAAAAGGAAACUACCAUAUUUGGGUUUUUAACUCUUUUUUAGUUUUCUUUUAUACUUUCACUAAAGCUGAUUUAAUUCUCAUUUUAACUACACAAAUAGUUCAUGAACUUGGAGAUCCAUUCGGAGGAAGAUGGAAAAAGGAAAAGCCCCUUUUAUCCCUUUUUAAAUAAAAGAGAAAGCGUAUUGGUUGGGUGAUUGAUUCAUCUGCUACUGAGAUAGAUGAUAGCCUGAAGGAGAGCCAAGGACUAAACAGCCAAAUGUUCCACUGUCAACAAAAUGGAAGAACAGGAAAAUGAAGGAAGCUUAAGUUUCUGCCAAAACAUAUUGGGAAAUGGAGAAAGAUAAGAUAAAUACAUAGAUGAGUGGGAUAACCAUAAGGAGACAAACAAAAACAUAUUGGGAAAUGGAGAAAGUAAUACAUAAAAUUGAAAAGAUACGUGGAUUGAGUUUUAAACCUCACCGGUUAUGGUUAUAAAAAAGAAGAUGGUACGCAGUUUAACCACCCCACAUCCUAUCCAGAACGGCCAAAUACCUGUUUCAACCAGCACGAUUGGCCAAACCAGCGUUCUACCACCUUAUUGCCCCCACUCAGGAUUAAAGCUCGCGUUACCAAGCCCAGCAAGCCACGAGGCGGGCAACCGGCUAUAUAUACGUUUACUCCCUUUUGAUUUUGGUCAAUGUGGUAUUCUCUUUCUUCCGAGGGUGCUUUUACUUGUUGAGGUGAUGAGUUUGGGAACUUCAUGGAAAACUUAAAAUUGAAUAUUUGAACAAAAUUAAACCAUAUGUUUUACAUAAUUUCUAAAAUUGCCUUCAUCAUCAAUAGCCAUGGAAUACAACAAUAAAUGGGAAAAUUACAACAGACAAGAAAACAACACUGACACUAAGCAGAUACCUAAAAAAACUUGAGAAGAGAAAUAAAAGAAAGGAGUGUUUACACAGAUUGUAAAUGGAAACAGUGAGCCAUCAAGAGGGACUCAAACAAAAGCAAAAGACAACAACCUAAAGCAUUCUAUAGAGAGAAUGAGCAUUUUGAGGGGUUCUUUUUAUUGGGAAAUAUAAUUACUUAAGUUCGUGGUCAUUUUUUUCAUAGCCUCGAUGUUUAUGGGUUGAAAUUUUUAUCAUCAUUUAACCUCAACAAAGCCUCAAAUAUCAUUUAUUACACCAAGUUCAUAGAUCAUAAAGAAGGUUGGUCUCACCCAAAGCCCUCUCCUUCAACCAUCACUGAGAGCGAGUCAGUUGGCGGUUGCCAAGUCGGUUGUCGUCUGCCCCUCUUCUUUGAUCUUCCCGACUCAAAGGUAAAGCCGAAAUUUUUUUUUUUGGAACAGUUGAGUUAAAAUAUAAUUUUAUUAUUUUAUUGACUUAUUUACCAAUAUGUGUCGUGACACUUUUUUUUAAUUAUGCUUCUUUUCAAGUUUUGGUUGUGCUUCUCAGCAAGGAUAGUUUCUAACCCUGUUGUUGUCCAUAAGGCUUUGAAAUGUAAAAUUACUUAGAAUGCAUCUAAUUCACAUAGUGUAAAACUAUUUCUACUAAUAGGAUUAUUGGAACGUAAAUUAUUUAUUUAUUUAUUUCCUUUUAUAUGAGUGCAGUAUCAAAAAGUUUUUUAGUCUUUAUUUUUUUAUACAAUGUCUAGAACUAAUCAUAAACCCUUAAAUAGGAAGAUAAUAAGUUUCAGUACACUUGAACCCAUGUUUUCCUGCACUGACAACAAUGCCGAUGCCAACUGAGUAGUCUUAUCAAAUUAGUUAUUGAUAUGUUACAUUGCCAUAUAUUUUUGAUCCAUUUGGAUGGAAUGUAUGAUUUUGUUGUUUAAUUAACGAAAUAUAAGAUUACUUAAAAACACAUUUCUUAAUUGUCCUUGGCAUAACGAAAUAUAAGAUAUUGAUAUAAAAAUUCAUAGAGCUCUUGUAUUAGACUUUAAAAUUUGAUGUUGUCAUUUUUGUUAGAGAAACUUAAAUUGCAUAUUUAAAAUAUUAUUAUAAUUAGGAUAAACUAUACUUAUAGUCACCCAACUAUAAAAGUUAUAAAAGAGUCCCCAACUAUUCGACUUUUUUUUUUUUUGUCAUCAUCUGCUAAAUGGCAGAUAAAAAGAUGAUCUAACGACUUUUAAAGUUAGUAUAAUAGCAAUUUUAACCAUCAAUAUCUAUACAUUCACACCGCCUACACCAAUCAAAAGUUCUCCUCAUCUUUCUCCUUCUUUCUAUAGUUCAAUUUUUUCCAUGAAACAACUUUAGAUAUCAUGAAUCUGUAAACUAAAAAUCUAAACAAUUUUAUUCUUCGAUCUCCAAAACUGACCAUCACAUCCACUUGGAUCUAAAGUAUUUUUUUCUACUCGUUAAUGGGUACUAAUCCACCGUAUCGAUCGUCAAACCAUUUGGAAUUCGCUAGUUGGACUUUAAAUAAUAAUAAUAAAAAAACUGAACAAUCCAAUGACUUAAUAAAUAAAAACUUCUCAAUAGUUUAGUGACUUAAAUGAAAACUUUUGAAUACUUUAGUGACUAUUUUGUAAGUUUUUCAAAUUAAAUGACUAAAAUAUAAACUUACUAAUAAUUUAAUGGCCUUAAAUGUAUUUUACCCAAAAUAUAUUAUUACAAAAUAAUUAAUAAAUCAAACAUAUCUACAUUUAUUUUAAAACCUUCUUUUUAAAUAAUUAUAUUUAUUUUUUUAAAUUAAGAGAUAUUUUUUAACUUCAUUAAAUUAUUUAAAUAAUAAAUUAUAUCUCAUUAUAAAUAUUUUCGAAAUUUCUCAUUAUUCCGUUAAUAUUAAAAAAAUCCUAAACCUUAUCCGAUAAUGUUAUAUAUUAUUUAACGCUUAGAAAAAGUAAAUAAAUAGAAAAAAAAAAACGUCUAAUUUAUUAUUCCUCAAACUACCACAGUAAAAAAAAAUUCAAAUCAAGAUUCAAUUUUUUUUUUUUUUUGGUUUCAAUAAAUCCAGAUUCAAAUUCAAGAUUACGUAUGUCUUCUUCCCCUUCAUUUUUAUCGUCAACCUCGUUUAAUUCCUGCAGGUCUGCUUCUUAAAUUACAAAAAAAGGGGAUUUUCAUUUAAUCCUUGUUUAUAUAACGUGAAUCGUCGAAAAAACGAGUAAGCGAAAAUGCGUAGCCGGGGAUCGAGUAACCGGUUAUCUAACUCUGGUGGCUCUCCUUUUCGUUCUAGAAUUUCUGCUUUGCUUCUCGCCAUGUUCGCUACGAUGGCUACGGUUUACGUCGCCGGCCGGUUAGUUUUCGUUCUUUCUUUUUUUUUCCUUUUUUUUAAAGUUUUUUGUUGUAGGUUUAUUGAGGAAUUUUUAUUUUGAGCCUUGUAUUUAAAUGUAGGAUGUGGCAGGAGGCAGAGAGCAGAGUAUAUUUAAUUAAAGAACUUGAUAGGAGAACUGGUCAGGUGAUUUUCUUUUCUCGUUUUCUUGAUCUCGCAUUAUUUAUUUUUUAGAUUAUGCUUUCAAAUUUAGUACAUCUGGUUCUUGGCCGUGCCUAGGCUUGAGGAUGAUGAUCUGCAUUUUCAUUCAUUGCUGUUACAUUCUCUGUCAAACUUGAUGCUUUCGCAUUAAAUUUAUUGUUGGCCAUUGAUUUGGAUUAUAUAUAAUAUGAUAUGAAGUGAUGGUGUUUAAGAGUUUGAAGAUGAUCUAUUUUGGUACAAAUCAGUUGGAUUUUGGUGACAUUUAAUUUUUAAACUUUUUCAGGGUCAUUCUUCUGUAUCUGUUUCUGAGACGCUAAAGAUAGUUAGCUGCAAGUAAGUUUUUUACUUAAUUACUUUUACAUUUAUGUUCUGUGUAUUGAAUCUAAUUUGAUAAAGCAAUGCAUUCCAGGGAGCAAUUGAAAAAAUUAUCAGCCAUUCAGAUGGAUCUAGCUGCUGCCAAGCAAGAAGGUUAUGUUUCGAAGGAGCACUCGGGAAAUGAUGGUACUCGUUCUAAGAAAAGGCUUUUAGGUGUUAUUGGUAUCAUCACAACAUUUGGACGAAAGAAGAAUAGAGAUGCAAUUCGGAAGGCAUGGAUGCAAUCUGGUAAUGCAUCUUUUCUCUUGACUAGUUUUAUCUUUUAUGUGUGUUAUAAGAAUGAUUGAAAACAAUGAACCAUGCCAAAACUGUAGGCUCCAAAUGUUUUCUAAUCUAUUCAAUCUCUUUGCAUGUAACAACAACUAUAGCAGUUAUAUAUAUUCAUCAAUCUACUGGCGUUUAGUGCCACUGGAACACAUGAAAUAGAAUGCACAUGAAUGCUUUAUGAUCCCAGGGUUUUAAUCAGAUACAUAGGGGAUCAUUGUCUACUAACAGCUAAUAUUAAGUCUCAUGCAAACUUAUUAACUGAUAAUUAAUGCGUACAAUGGAGUGUGUUGCUGUAAAUUAGUAUUAACUGCUAAUUAAUGCGCACAAUGGAGUGCUUUGCUGUAAAUUAGAAGCCUAGAUUGUUUUAUUCAGGUAAAAGGCUAAAUGACCAAUGAAUACCAUUCUGUUAUAAAUGAAGAUGGCUUAUCGUCAAUUGCUCCAAACCUAUCUUCACUCUAAAUUAGUUUGAAAGAACGCUUUCCUUCUCUAGCAUAGUUGAUGGAUAUCUGCAUUCCAAUUUAUUACCCUCCAUUAAAUUAUUCAUAGAUUUGUAAAUAUCCUGUUACCUAAUUAUCAUUUCCUCUGAUAGUAGUUAAAUUGAAAAUAUAAUAUGUGCAGGUGCGGCUUUGAGAAAACUGGAAGAAGAGAAGGGAAUUGUUGUGCGAUUCGUAAUAGGAAGAAGGUUUCUAAUUGAUGGUUUCUCCUAUCAAGUAUUUCUCUUCCAUUUCUGUUUAUUGAAUUUUAUAUUACUGGCAGUGCAAAUCGUGGAGAUAGUUUGGACAGGGAGAUCAAUGAUGAACACAGCCAAACUAAUGACUUCAUUAUUCUGGUAUGGUGACCUAUUUGAAGCUAUUCCAUGCAUAUCUAGGAAAAUUUUUACUUGGGAAUACAGGAAUUUUAAGCUUAUCUUGAAUUAUUUUGAAUGGAAUUGUAGCUCUUAGAAUUUAUUGCUAACUAGUGUAAAGAGAUUCAGUAACUUGGUGAUAUCAUUUAUUCCAACUUUUAGGGUACAUAUGCAAGCAUAUUUCUGAAAGACCACUGACUUGAUUCACAUGUUAUGUACGUUAUUGCUGGUGAAUCAACAUGUUCCAAAGGAUUGAUCUUGUAGUGGCAAAUAUAAUUUUCCUUUUUGUUUCAACAGGAUGAUGUGGAGGCACCUGAGGAACGUUCAAAGAAGAUAAAGUUUUUCUUUGUUCGUGCUGUAGAGAGCUGGGAUGCAGAGUUCUAUGUUAAGGUCAAUGAUGAUGUUUAUGUUAAUAUUGGUAUGUAAUCCUUGUUAGUUCUUUUAGGUAAUGUUUUAGGUACUACCAUGUGAAUAUGUUGACAUGAUUUCUUGUUCUGGAAGUUUGCUUUCUCCCCCUUUCUCUAGAAUUUUCUCCUAUAAUACAUCUGUAUAUCAAGUGCGAAAGGCCUUACAUCCCAAAAUAGUUUUUCUGAGUUAUACCAGUUUCAAUAACAUUUCAAGUUCUUGUCAUAAGUGCAAAAUAUUGUUGCAGAAAACAUGACAGUUUGUGAUGAUCAGCUGAAAGUGUUGUGGUGCAGGUGCAAGGGUCGUGUUGGUUAAUUGAGAAUGCAUACUGUUAUAGAACUAAAUAAUUCUUGACAGCCUUUACUGAUGCAGUAAUAUUUGAAGCUGAUCCUUUGAUUGUUUACAGAUGCUCUAGGAGCUAAACUUUCUGCUCAUUUGGACACGCCUCGUAUUUAUAUGGGGUGUAUGAAAUCAGGAGAAGUUUUCUCUGACCCGUGAGUAAAUUGUAUUUUUCUGAAGAUUACUCACAUGUAUCGAUUGAGAUCAUCUCCUUCCCAACUUUCCUUUUGUAAAAUUUAUGUGCCCCUUUAUAUAUGUUCAGGACCCACAAAUGGCAUGAGCAUGAUUGGUGGAAAUUUGGUGAUGGAAAAUCGUGAGUAACAAACAAUCCUUUUCUUUUUCCUCUCCUAUGCAUAACGGAAAUUUAGUAAUGAUCUAAUAGUCUCAUGUUAAAUAUAGCACACAUGUCGACUCUAUGUUAUUGUCUUAACUAUAAAUACAAUGAAAACAGAUCAAAUGCUAAGAAUUUAGUUCUUCAAAGUCAUCAUAUGAUAUUCAUGCAUUAAGUUCUUUUUGCAGCUUUGUGUCCCCUGAUAUCCUAAUCGGUCUAUAGUUUCCACUUGUUUCUUAAAAUUCUUGUGUAUGGUGCAGAUACUUUCGGCAUGCUUCAGGCGAAAUAUUUGCUAUUUCACGAGCUUUAGCACAGUUUAUCUCAAUUAAUAAGUAAGUUUUAACACCUUCUUUGGCCUCAGUUUUUAGAUUGCACUCGGUUGACCUCAAAAUUCUCUCAUUUUGCAGGUCUCUUCUUCAGGUCUAUGCACAUGAUGAUGUGAGUGCAGGGUCAUGGUUUAUUGGGCUUGAUGUGCAACACGUUCACGAGGGGAAAUUUUGCUGCAACACCUGGUCUACAGGUUUGUCUUCCUCCUUUUUAAACACACACAAAUAUGCAUGCAUGCUUGCCCUUACACGUUUUCGCAUAUAGUUGCAAAGGUGAUUAGUUGGUUAAGAUAAGGGGAUCCAUCUCUUCUCGACUAUCUAAUUCAGAAUUUGAUGCUAUCAAAUUAAUCGAUAAUGUUCUGUCGAAUUACCAAGGACCUAUUAUUGUUAUGUCUUUUGGCUAUAUUUAAACCAGUUAUAUGGAGAUUCGGAUACAUCGUGUUUAUAUAAUCGUUUUCAUUGCAUGCCAGGUUCAGUAUGUGCAGCUGUCUGAUUCGACUAACCGGAUUUACGUCAGCACCAUUUUUAUAUAAAGAGAGAGUCCAUUCUUUUUGCAUUUUGGGAGUGUGGAAGUGCCAUAAUUGUUGAGAUGAAAGAUUUCAGUGAGAAAUGAUUCUUUUAAUUCAAUCCUGGUUCUUCCAAGUUCUAACUGAUGUACAUGCAGGCCAAUAUACUUAUCAUUCUUGGAAGGCACAAUUUUUUUUUCCCCCUUUUGUUGAUGUAUUAUAGCUCUGUAUAUUUUAAGUUCAAUCUUUAGAUUUGAUUGAUAAAAUUUUCCAAUAUUUCAGAUAAAAAAUGAAGAGUUCUUUAGAAUUAAAUUUUUAUCCGUCGGAGAUGUUCUUAUUUUGUGAUCAAGACUCUCGACAGAAAAAAGAAAAACAAAAUUCCAAACAAAAACACAAUUCCUAAUAAACAAUACAUCAAAUACUUCAUAAAAAAUAUUCUCUCUCUCAACAAAUCUAACGUUUGAUUUGGGUUGUGAAGUGGGCUCCUUUACUUUAUCAUUCACAUGUGAGUUAUAUAUUUAAUUAUUUUUUAUAAAGGGGAAUUCACAUUUAAAUUAGUCAAGCACAAAUCUACACUUUUCCACCUUGGCUUGCAAUUUUAAAAGUGCUUAAUUUGUUUGUUCAUAAACAAUGCCAAUUUGUUAAAAUUUGAGAACAGCUUGUCCAUUAUUCUCCUAUGCUUUUCAAAAUUAAUAAUAGUCUUCAUUAAAAAGAAAAAAAAAACCUAUUGGGUUUUGACAUAAAUUUAUUUUGACCUAAAAUAUGACAAAAUUGGCUUCGGGUUAAUCGCGAAAAUUUUGAUGCUUUUGGGUUAGAGGGAUAGGUUCGAAAGUCUGUUCGAAAAGUAAAGAUUUGAAUAAAAAUAUAUGUUCAAGAAAUAGGUUUAACAAAAAAUAAAGUUUGUUUUCUAAAUGGUCCAAGUUUUGGGUAAGUUUUUUUUACCCCGUCCGGUUUGAAUUUGCAAAAGAAAUUGUUGCUGUUUUUACUUUUUUGCCACUAGUUUUUUCAUUCUUUUGCUAUCAUUCCACUAUUAUAUUGUUACUAUUUUGUUAUUAUUAUUUAGAUAUUGUAUAAUUCUUAUUUUAUUAUUAAUUUUGUUGCUAUUUUAAAGGUAUUUGCUUGCUAAAUUAUAUUUAUCUUAGUAUUAUUUAAGUAUAUAUUUUUUUCAUUUGUUUGUUUUUAGUGUAUUUGAUAUAUUAUAUUUUUAAAAAAUUUAUAUAAAAAAUUUAAUACAGGCAGGUUAGGUCAGGUCAGGCUCGAGUUUUAGCAUUUUUAUUUAGGUUUGGUUUGGACAAAAUUUUAAACCCAUUAUUCAAGUAGGGCCUAAAAAAGAGCUUAAUUUUUUCAUUUGACCCUGCUCGAACCCUACCCAGCCACGAACAAUUUUAUUUUAGGUUAAUAAAUAUUUAUAGAUUUAUAAAUUUUAAUAUUAAAUUUAUAUCUAUAUUUAAAUUGAAUCAAAUGGAUAAGAUAACAUAAUGUGAUGUGGAGUAAAGUAAUAAUAGCACAUUGCCUUGAGUGCAAGCUUGCUAAAAGUCAGUUAUUUUUAUAGAAGGCUGAAAUCAAGUUCAUUAUUCGAAUAAUUAUGGCAUAUUUAUAAUAAUAAAAUAAUCAAUUUAACAUAUUAUACUUAUAUAAUAUUUAACAACUUAUACUAAUAAUUCAUAGGUAAUGUCCAAAAUUGCCAUCUAAUCAAAACAAUGGUGGGCCCUUUAUGAUGGGUUUUUCUGAGUGCUUCUCAUGCUAGUUUAGGGAUAAAAGAAUUUAAAUAUUUAAAUUUAUUAUUUGUUUCACUUUAUAUCACUAAAUGUAAUAUUCCAUAUCUCAAAAAUUAUUUAAGGAUUAAAAUGCAACAUUUUCAAAAUUAUCGAGUUGACACACCACGUUAGUGUAUCAUGUCAUAACCUCAAACAAAUAGUUAAUAUCAUCAUGACGGUAGGGGCUUGAGGUCAUGACGUCGCUUAUUGUUUAAAAAAUGCUCAAAUGGUACCAAGUCAUAUAUGCCUAAACAAACAAUCAAUUGCAUAUCAUUUAAGCAUAAUACAUACAUCAAACAUUUCAUAUACUACCAUUGAAACAACAUUUCUAUCCAAAUUUCCUAAUUGAGAAUUCAAACAUAAAAUCCAAUUCAACAAAUAUUAUCAUUUCCACAUUUUAGCCAUGUCAACCACUUAUACCAAUCCCAUGUAUGCAUUGAACAAUUCAUGUACAUUAGACUCAAACUAACAUUACCAACUCGGGAUUUUAAAAUGACCUUUACAUUACAAAAUCAACUCAAACUUUAACUACAUUCCAUAUAUCAAACCAUAAAGGAAUUAUAAAAAUAUUACUGAGUCGAGAGUUGCAGAUCGAAUGCUGGAUUACUCCUUAAGUCUUCGAAAUCUACUAACACCUACCCACGGAAUUAACAAACCGUAUGCUAUUUUGUUAAUUUAUUAAAAAUAUUUAAUGAGUUUUAUCUUAUAAGAUACAUGAUAAUUUAUUUAUUUAUUUAUUUCGAAUUUAGAUUUAAAUAAUAAUAUUUAGAUUUAAUAGGGUAAUAAAUGAAAUCAAAAUUAUGAAUUUAAAUAGGUUUAAUUUAUGAUUUAACUCUUGAAUUAUACCAGUUUUUUCAUUGUGGUACUUAUUGAGAGGGGUUGAUUCCUUCAGAAGAAUUCUUUAAAGUGUCAUUCAUUAGGCAAUCGGUCAAAGCCCCAGCAUUGGUAGGUCUUGUCCUCUUCUUGGAGUUUUAUCUCCCUCCUUUAUCGAAAGUCUUGAAGGGUCCACGAAGGGGGAGCGCUUUGGUUAGUACAACACUUGCAAGUAUGUGGCUUAUAUAUCUUAGGUUGAUAGUUCGAGUUCCCUACACAUAGGUGAUUUACAUAAUAAAUGUUACACACUAUACUAAUAUCUCUCUUGUGAGGCUUGCAUAUCAUAUAUCCACCAACAAACAUAAAGAAAACACCUAUCAUUCUCGAAGGUUUGCCCAGUUACUUGACAGACGACGAUGACAGUUCAAGAACUUUUUCUACAAGAAUCAAUCCCUUAAUAUUAUUUAAACAUUUUUUUCUAUUGAAAAUGUACAAAAGUUGAUAAUAUUAUCCACGAGUUCUAAUUUAAUUAUGAGUAUCAAAAUGAAAAAAAUAAAAAAUGCGAAAAAAAAUUCAAAACUUAAAUAAUAAAUUAAGCCAUUUAAAUAUUAAAAAGUACAAAUAAACCCACCUAUUACUAUUAGCUUUUGCAAAUUUGUCCUCUUUCCCUCCCUCUCUCUCUUUUUUUUUUAAUUAUCCAACUGUAAAAAUGCCCCUAAUACAAAGUGGGGUGAUUUUGUUGUCUCCCUCAUCUAGAUAAAAAGCAGAGCCAGUGCAAGCGGCUAAAGGACGAAGCUCCCAAUGUCCAAAUAAAAUCCAAAACCAAACCUAAUUUCUCUUACAUUAAAUGCCCAUUUCAGACGCCCUUAUUGUCUUUUACACCAACUGGUAAGUAACAGCUCUUUUCUUUCUUUCUUUCUUUCUUUCUUUUUUUUUGGUUUCUCGUAUCUACCGCCAUUUUUAAUAGGUACCAUCACUGACGCUGAUGCCAAUGCUGCAAACUAAAAGACAAUAAAACACAGGCAAAAAAUUGUAAAAAAAGGGGUAUUAGUGGCCAUUACAUUCAAUGCAAUUUCAUGGCAACAACUACAACUACAACAAAAACAUCAUCAAUUUCCACAAAAACAUCGUCUGCUCAGCUCAAAGUUCAAGUACAACCCAUUAAGCCUAAAUGCCGCAAGUGUAAAGAAACCACUAUUUCUUGUUCGUCUGCUACUACCGGCGCCGCAAACGGCGGUUCCGAUUCUGGUUUUUCAGCUCGAAAGCUUGACCCCCCGACUGUUGUUUCAGCUGAUAGUUCUUGGUGUUGUCCUGCUUCUAAGCCAUUCCCGACUCCACCGCCUCCUCCUCCUUCUCCUCCUCAAACUCGCCUUGUUCCGGACCAGGCUUCAACCGAUUCUUCGACGGCUUCUAAGAUCCGGUAUUCUCCGGGAAGUUUAUCACCCGUCAUGGAUUUCACGACGAUCUCCAACGGUCAUUCACCCUCGAGUUUCACCAAGUUUAACUCUGCACUCACUGCGGGUCUUUUAAACCCGCAUUCUCCGCCGCCUCCGUCGGACAAGUCACGAUCUAGUCCAACCCUUUUCGAGAUGAUGGCUAGCGAACCCGAUGUCCACCCAAGGACCCAAACCCAGAUCCAAGUACCCAUUUCAGGUCCUAGACAAAACCAACCCCCACCAGUCAUUGACAAACAGGCGUUGACCAUGCAGCGGAUUUCAAACCUUUUGUCAACCCGUAGCCCCGGAAACCAGUUUAACGACCCGGAUUCGACUGAUAUAAAGCUAACGUUGAGUUCCAAGGAUGGGAUUAGUGUGUCAAUGAAUGUGCAUAGGCAAAUUGUGGUGGCUCACAGCCGGUUCUUUGCCGUGAAGUUAUCUGAUCGAUGGGCAAAACAACAGAGAAAUGGAUCGGCUGGACCGUACAUUGUUGAAAUUGCAGAUUGUGAUGAUGUUGAGGUUUAUAUUGAGACCCUGAAAUUGAUGUAUUGUAAAGAUUUGAGGAAGAAGCUAAUGAGAGAAGAUGUUCCUAAGGUUCUUGGCAUUUUGAAGGUAAAGUUUCAAUCUUUUUCAAUUACCAAUUUUUAGAGUAUGGAUUAAGGUUUUUAAUUGCUGAAGUGGUUGAUUUUGUGGGGGUUUUUUUUUUCUUUGUUAGGUUUCAGCUGCAAUUGGAUUUGAUGCUGGGGUUUUAUCUUGUUUGGAGUACUUGGAAGCUGCCCCUUGGGCUGAGGAUGAAGAAGAGAGAGUAGCUUCUUUAUUGGCAGAGCUCCGCCUCGAAAAUGUCGGAGCAGGGGAAGUUUUAAAAAGGGUUUCUGUCGAAGUUACUAAUGGAACCGAUGAUGGUGGUGGCGAUAACGAAGAAGUGCUUCUCAAGCUUUUGCAUGUUGUUCUCGAAGGCAAAGACGAGAAGGCAAGGCGGGAAAUGAAAGGGUUGGUCUUGAAGAUGCUUCGCGAGAAUUCAUCUCAGAACGAUCUCCGGAAAGAAUCGUUGUAUUCGGCUUGUGAUGGUUGUUUGGAACUGCUUCGUAGCCAUUUCCUCCGAGCAGCAUUGUCGGAUUUGACGGAUGCAAAUCAGAUUGCUAGACAAGCAGAUAAUUUGCAUUGGAUUCUGGAUAUUUUGAUUGAUAGGCAAAUUGCUGAAGAUUUUCUAAAAUCAUGGGCUUCUGAAUCCGAAUUAUCGAAUGUUCAUUCUAAAGUUCCGGCUGUUCAUAGGUACGAAGUUAGCCGAGUGACCGCACGGUUAUUUGUUGGAAUCGGAAAGGGACAACUGUUGGCAUCAAAGGAAGUACGAUGCUUGCUUUUACAAACAUGGUUGGUACCAUUUUAUGAUGAUUUCGGGUGGAUGAGGAGGGCAUCAAGAGGUCUCGAUAGGCAUUUAAUCGAAGACGGUCUAAGUAACACAAUUCUCACUUUACCUCUAGCUUGGCAACAAGACAUUUUGCUUGCUUGGUUCGAUAGGUUCUUGAACUCGGGCGAAGAUUGUCCCAACAUUCAAAGAGCCUUCGAAAUUUGGUGGCGGAGAGCGUUUUGGAAACGCAGCGGUGAUCAAGAACUACCAAGGGAAUCACAUGUUACAAUUGCAACCAUUGAGAAUUCAUAAAACCGGUGGUACCAUUUUUCUUCGUUUCCUUUCACUGAUAGCUCAUUUUUCAUCUUCUUCGUCUCUAAACCGAAGCUCGUCGCGGUUUAGUCUGGAAGAAGACGUCGAGACAGCAGCCUUUAGGUUAAAUUUAUGUUGGAAAUAAACACUAUAUAGAAACCAAUUUUCAUGUUUUAAUGUUUUCACUGACAUAUCUGGUUUUGGUUUUGGUUUUGGUUUAUUUUGUAUUGGAGGGUCAUUUUAGAAUUCAACCAAAAGAAACUCUUUUUUGUUCAGCUCUGGUUUUUACAUGUCUUGGUAUGGAACAAAGAGGCAUAUAUUUAUGUUGUUGUAAUUAAGGACAUUUGGAGUUGCUGAGAAGCUGUGUUGAAUGAUGUUAAAAUUCAUGAAUGCCAAAGCAUGCUCCAUAAGAUUUUGCAGAGAUGGUAUACUCUUUUUGUUGGCUUGUUUUAUGACCGAUAGUUGAAUUGAUCAAACUUUCGAUUUUUUAAUUAUGAAAAUUAAAAAAAAUAAUUUGAUUCAAUUAGUUUAUACUGGACAGAUUGAAAUAAGGCUGGAACAUUCUCUCAUUUGAAGCAAAUGGUAUAAAAGAAAAGGUUAAUUUAUCAAAACAUCCCUAAACUAUAAUUCAUAUUUUAAAUUGGUCUUUAGACUUCAAAUUGUUCUAAAUGAAUCCUCAAAUUACUAGUAUUAUCAAUUAAGUUUUUUCAUAGUGUAGCUGGCAAUUAGACAAUAAAUGCUAGUUUGACCUAAUACGAAACAUGUUUUAACAUGUGAAUCAAAUAAUAAGCAGGGGCGAAGUUAGAAAUUUUUUUUAGGGGGACCGAAAUUAAAUUAUAAAUUUUACGAUGGUAAAAAUGUAAUUUUACCAUUUAAAAAGUAUAUUUUUAUAAUUUUUAAAGGAUUAAGUCAAAAUUUUAUCAAUUUUAAGGGACUAAAGUAUAAUUUUAUCUUUACUAAUUUAAAAUUUUAAAAGACCUAAAUGGACAAUUUUUCAUUUUAGGGGAGGCCGAGGCUCAUGCCAGCCCCUCUAGAUAUGCCACUGACAAUGAGCAUGUAUGUGCUUACUAUAUGGACAAUUUAAAUUUGAUGUUUUUAAUAAAAUAGUGGUAAUAGAAUUGAAAAGGGAAACCUUUCGUUAUUAUAACACAUUAUAUCUAAGUUAUCCAUGCAAAAAGUAGAUAUAUUUUUACAAUUUAGUUCAUGAGUUUUAAGUGUACUUCAUAUCAAAUUUGAGUUGGCAUUUAAUGUCCAAGUUAACAGUUAGACUAUACGUUAUUUAUACUUAAAGGACUUAAUUAAGACAUUUUAAAGUUCAAAAAUUAAUUUAAAAUUUUGGGUCCUAGUUUGAGGACCUCUUAUGAAUUAACCCAAAAAAGAAAAAUGAAAAGUUAUAAUCUGGUAUGUGCUGGACAACUUUCAAUCAUUUUAUAGCAACAAUGCUUCUGUCUUAUCUGUCGAGUGAGAACCAGCUUUCCAGCAUCUUUGUCUCUUAACCACAAAUUAUUGAUUAAAAACAAACCCUUUUUUAUUCAUUGACUAAAUCUAAUAAUUCCAUCUUCUUUUAUAUCUUGCUAUGUGUUCACAUACUGCAAAUUCAAACUUCAAAACAAAAAAAUUCACUACUGAUAUUCAUCCAAUUAUGAUUUUUUUAUUAUAAAAAAUUAUAAAAUAAUUAUUUUAAUAUUUAAUUUUAUCUUUUUAGAUUAUCAGUUGAGUAACGUAAAAAUAAAAAUACUUAAAAAUUUAAGAUAAUUACGUGAUAAAAAUAAAAUAAAAUAAAAUAAAAUAAUAAAAUAAUUAUUUUGUAAUUUUUUGUAAUUGAGUAAAAAACAUAAUUAAAUAACUAAUAAUAUAAUUUACCCAAAAAAAUAGAGUAAAAAGGUAUGUAUCAAAGUGGCUGUCAUUUUAGACCCCAUCACUUAUACUACACACAUAAUGUUGUUUUUUUUGUCUGGUUGAAAAUACUUAAAUGAUUCAUGUCACAAGACAAAUAAAUGUUUUGGGUUUCGGAUUCAAUAUGAGAAUUUUAAAUAAUUAGAUAAAUUAUAUUGGUAGUCAUCCAAUUAUUGUUAAGGUUUUUUUAAUUACCUAAUUAUAAAAAGUUAUAAAAUAGUCACCUAAUUAUUUUAUUUUAUUUUUUUAGUCAUUAAUCGUUAAAUGGCUAAUGAAAAGAUGGCAUAACACCUUUUAAAAUGGGCUUAAUAGCAAUAUUAACUCUCAACAUUUAUAUAUUGUAUCAAUUUGUCUUGAUUAUAAAAAAAAAUUAACCCUCUACCAUUAUACAUUGUGUAAUUUGAUUUUUUUGUAAAAAAAAUAAAUUCAUACGGUAAAUUUGACAAAAAAAACCAAAGAUAGAAACACCCAAAAAUUCAAGAUAAUAAUUUUUAUUUUUUUCUAUUUAAAAAAAAAUUAAACUUCAAUGCCAUAAAGAAAAACAAAACUGCAAAAAAAAUCAAAUUACAUAAUAUGCAAAUAUUGAGAGUUAACUUUUUAAAAAUCGAUUCUAAAUUGACACAUUGUAUAAAUGUUGAAAGUUAAAGUUUCUAUUAUGCCAAAUUUAAAAGUAGCCAAGUUAAUUUUUUAUGAUAAUUUAAUGGUGGGGGACAAAAAAAGAAAAAAG